AUUAGGGAAAAAUAAAAUCAAAAAUGCCAUCAAAUCAUAUAAUAUAAGUAUGCAAACACCUUUAACAAUUGAAAUUGCCAAAAAUAGCUGCCCAAAAAUUACACUAAAAUACUACAAUAGUCAAAUGGCAACUUUAAAUAAAAAGAAGAAAUCUGAAUUGUUUUUAACUACAAAAAAAUGGUGCGAAAAAAAGAAGGCUGAAGCAAAGGCUGCAGAAGAGAAGAUGGCUGCAGAAAAUGUUUAAGUAAACGUUGGUCAUGUUCAUCUACAUCGCCAAGUUACCUGAUCUACCUAGCUACGCUAUGUAGUAAUUUUGCAUAAAUAUUGAUGACCUUUCAUUGUAUUUUUAAAAUAUUUAAUAUUUAAAAAAAACAGGCCACUUUCUUUUGCUAUAAUAUAUUAUUAUGAUUCUGGUGUUUACAUUUAGCAUUACAAUAUUAUUUAGGAUACCUUAGAUUUUUGACCAAGACUCAUUAGUUGACCGUAGACUGAUGUUAAGCAAUACUUUUCUUAGCGAUCCGUUAUCUAAUUCUAUAAAAACUCCUCUUAUCUGUUAUAAACUUUAAAUUUCCACAAUAGUCUAUCCGUACAGCUAUGUAGUUCUCAUAUUCUCCAUUCCCAAAAUUAAAAUAAAUUAUAUAGAAAAAAAACAAGCAACUAAGGCGCUUAUUAAUGUCUAUAUCGUCAAUAAAAAUCUCGGUUUCAUUUAAAAUUAUUUUUCUUUUCGUUUAAAUUUCUAAAAAAUGUUGUAUGUUAUUUAACAUUAUUAUUACUUUUAUUAUUAUGUCUACAACCCGCGGUAUUAUACUAUUACUCAAAUAUCAAAUAGGUACCUAUACUCUAUUUGGAAUGAGAUCGUACCCCGGCGGCCAAGUCGUGCGCAUGGGCGUGGCUUUAUUCCGUGCCAGCGUCCAACGCGUCGCCGUAGUGGGGAUGACGUCUGACUAUAAUAUGUCUGACCACCGUCCGACGAAAACUGGUCGUCGCCGAGGUACGAUCUCAUUCCGAAUAGAGUAUAGGUACCUACUUUAUAUUCAAAGAGCACUGGCAAAUUAUUUGUAAUAAAUAAAUGUACCUAUUAUAAAUUAUAAGAAUAGCACGAUUCUAGAUAGAAUUCUAAAAAUAAUUAUGUAUUUAACAACAUCUUUUGUAUUGUUUGUACUACGAUUUUAAAUAAACGAGUACAAUAAAUUACAGUUGUCUAGAUAUUUGACUA